GACGAACGCUGGCGGCGUGCCUAAUACAUGCAAGUCGAACGCAGUGGGGACGGGUUAGUAACACGUGGGUAACCUCCCAUCAGAGGGGAUAACACUUGGCAACUGGUGCUUAACCCCUACUGGUGGAGGGACCCGCGGUGCAUUAGCUAGUUGUUGUGGUAAAGGCUCACCAAGGCCACGAUGCAUAGUCGACCGUAGAGGGUGACCGGCCACACUGGAACUGAGACACGGCCCAGACUCCUACGGGAGGCAGCAGUGGGGAAUCUUCGGCAAUGGACGAAAGUCUGACCGAGCAACGCCGCGUGAGGGAAGAAGGUUUUCGGAUCGUAAAACUCUGUUGGUGGGGAGGCGUUAUCUACACAGAAAGCAACGGCUAACUACGUGCCAGCAGCCGCGGUAAUAC
rnacentral:rRNA from 1 species